rnacentral:lncRNA from 1 species
CCCUUGGGGACCAGCAGGCCGAGACCCACCCUCUGCUCUGGCUGUGGUCUCGGGACGGGCCCAAGUCCCUGCUCAGAGAGGUGCUAGGCGAACCAUCCAGCUCAUUCUUCUUGGGGACCGGCUCCACAGGGGCUGUGGAUUUGCUUUCGGUGUUGUUUAAAAAAAAAAAAGAAAAUAUAUUUUUUUGAAGAAAGGUCUGCCCAUCCUGGGUCCUAUCCCUGAUGGAUUAGGGCAGUUAUCUGAUUGCUGUUUUAAUUAAAAACAAAACAAAACAAAGUGGCACAAAAGGUUCUGUGAGACUGUGUAUCAUGAGGGCAAGCCCCACUCCUCGGGGAAGGUCUGUGGCCCUAGAAGGACCCCUGUCCCAGGGCCAGGGCAGUGUGGUAGGGAGAGCAGGGGCCUGCCCACUAAGCCUUCACCCAUGAGGACACCAGAGUUCCCAGGGGGCUGUGAGCAGGUCCCAGGCCCUGUGCCAGGUGCUGGACAGAGCAGCAGGCCCAGGCUGCUGGCAGGGCUGCUGUCCCACUGUCAUUGAGGAUUCACUGCCAGAUACACAGGGCGCCGAGCACAUGCCAGGUGCUGCACCCAGGGCUGGCACUGUCACCUCGUUGAGAAGACAGGCCCAGAGAGCUGAAGUCACUUGUCCAGAGCCACAAAACUUGUACGAUGGAGAAACUGAGGCUUGGGACGGGGAGCAGCCUCCUGCGAGAGGGCUCUGAGGGGGGGGGAGAGCAGCUAGAGGAAGGCCUGCGUGCCAGCGUCCAGUGUGGCUCUGUGAUCCUUGAGGCCUGGGCUGCGGCAGCAACCUUCCUCCGUCAGAACGGAGUUUAUAGUGUUUGCUCCCGUGAGCAGAACUCUACUGCUUCAGGCAUAGCUGCAUCCAGGGCCCCGGUUAAUAUCCCAAAGCACCUGAGCUCAGUUUCCCACUUCCUUCCUGUGGACGAGGCAGGACCCAGUAAAGCCUGCAAACUCAGCCGCCCCAGUCCUAGGGCUCUUAUUGGCUGGGGAGGAGUCACGUGCUCAUCCGCAAGCCAAUCACAGGCCAGGAGGGGUAAACCCGGGCGAGGGGCGGCACAGGCCCGACGGUCUGGGAGCGGCCCUAGUCCUCGGGCGGAGCCGGGCGUGUUCCCCGGCGGCCGCCGCCCCCCGCAGCCCGCGGGCUGGACAGGCCUCGGCCGUCCACGUCCCUGGCGCAGCGCUCGGCCCGCCGCGCUCCCACGUGGGGGCCGCGCUCGCCUGCGGCCUUUGCUCGACCGUGCCCUCCGCCGGAGCCCCCGCCGCACGCCUGCGCUCCUUGCCGCCCGCGGGGCCCGCCAGCGCGCCACCUUCAUCUGGGCGGACGCGACGAGCCGCUGUCGCGUCCCCGGUGCCGACACCGACGGACGCUCGGCUAACCUGGGUCGAACGGACGCGCGAGUCCCGCAGCCCUGAGUGCGCGUGCGCGCACGGCCCCCCGCGCGCAGGGCCGGCGGACUGAGUCCCGGG